AUUGAACGCUGGCGGCAGGCUUACCACAUGCAAGUCGAGCGAGCGGCGGACGGGAGAGUAGUGUCUGGGAAACUGCCAGAUGGAGGGGGAUAACUACUGGAAACGGUAGCUAAUACCGCAUACCAUACGAUCUGCACCGAUGGGAUUGGCUAGUAGGUGGGGAAAUGGCGCACCUUGGCGACGAUCCCUAGCUGGUCUGAGAGGAUGACCAGCCACACUGGAACUGAGAGACGGUCCAGACUCCUACGGGAGGAAGCAGUGGGGAAUAUUGCACAAUGGGCGCAAGCCUGAUGCAGCCAUGCCGUGUGUGUGAAGAAGUCCUUCGGGUUGUAAAGUACUUUCAGCGAGGAGGCGUUACUCGCAGAAGAAGCACCGGCUAACUCCGUGCCAGCAGCCGCGGUAAUAC
rnacentral:rRNA from 1 species